GACUCCAGUGAAAAUGAAAUGAAGGUUAAUCAGCUCCUUUUUGCGAUCAGUUUUGGCUUUCAUGGAACAAAGUUGUUUUGCAGGAAAAUAAAUUUUGCACUGCAGCUUGCUUUUCACUUUUUGUCCUGUACACAAACAUUCCAG